UCUGUGGCCGCGGAGAAGGGGAGUGCGAAACGGGGAAGAGAAGGCGAGAGAGAAGAAACAAGGCACCCAACGCCCUAAUUUCGCUCUCUUCGAAGCCCCUCCUUCCGUCGAUCGAGAUAAGGAGAGGAGAAGAAGAGGUUGGGGUUGCGUCGGGGAUCUCAAAAUGCAUAAAUUGGGAAGAAGAAAUCGAGACAAAGUGCAGCAGUUUAUGGCAAUUAAUGGAACGAGUGAAAGAGUUGCUCUUAAGGCAUUGAAAGUGAGCAAUUGGCAUUUAGAGGAGGCUUUUCAUAUGUUUUAUGGCCAACCACAUACUAGACAGUUGUUGAUUCUAGGCAUCUUGAAGAGCUUUAUAACAGAUAUAAAGGCAAGUUCUCCUUGAGUAGUGAGUUCUUUUGUUUUGCUGUCAAAUAUUUGUCUGCAUACUUCCAGUCACUAUUCUUUUUUUUUUUUUUACUGCUGAAUUUUGGUUCUUCAUGGUAGAUCCCCAUGCACCUGAUACCAAUCUUAGUUGCAUAAUCAGUAUUGAGACAGAUAUUUUAAGGAUGAUAUGAUUGAUAUUAACAAAAUCUUGAGAUUGGAUUAACGAGAUUGAUUGGUUUGAUGGAGAUAAUAACAUGAAAAAUUAGAAAAAUGUAAACAAUGUAAUAAAAAAAAAUUAUGAUAUAAAAUUUUAUGAAAAGAAUACCAUAAUAAAAUAUUCCUUUACCUAUCAUGUUUCCUGUUGUCUAUUUUAUUUAAAGAAUAUGAAUCUAAGAUAUAGAUGAAAAAAAUUACACUGAAAGUAUGUAGAUUAAUUUAUUAAAGUUAACUAAUAUAUAUAGACGUCAGAUUCUAGGAUGACCUCAGGCAAGUAAUUUCCCAUUUGCUUACUUGACCUUAAUUGUUGGAAUCUUCUUUUCAUUGUUUCUUCAGUCUUGUGCUAUCAUAAAUAAACAAUCAUGCUUUCAGCCUAAAUAUUAUCAAAUAUGUUAGCAUAAAACAUUAUUCAUCAAUUGUUCUCUACCUAAUAUCUAAUCCUGCUUAAUAUUUAAUUAUAUGCUACUAAUGCUGCAAGUUACUUGCUUAUGUUUGGAUUGAGUAAAAUAAAAUAAUUUUGGUUGUGGCAGAUCCUUGUGUUGAUAUGAUACUGGUUGAUGGUAUAACCCUUCUUUGCAGUGAUUUGCAAGUAAGAUAUGGUAUAACCCUUCUUUGCAGUGAUACCGGUCUAUUCUUCCAUAUUUGCAUUAUCUUAUUAUGUCUGAAGUGGUUUUGAGGUGGCAACAAGUGGUGCAUUUUCUACUCUAUUAGUCUUUGACUAAGUUUUUUGACAUAUCUGGUGAUAGAAUCAAUUUAUGUAUUAAUAACUAUUGCACAUUGAUUAAAGAAAUGUAUAUUCUGUUCAAAGUGUUUGUUAUAA